rnacentral:rRNA from 1 species
CACGUAGGGUGCGAGCGUUGUCCGGAAUUAUUGGGCGUAAAGAGCUCGUAGGCGGUGUGUCGCGUCGGCCGUGAAAACCCUGCAGCUUAACUGUGGGCUUGCGGUCGAUACGGGCAUCACUGGAGUUCGGCAGGGGGAGACUGGAAUUCCUGGUGUAGCGGUGAAAUGCGCAGAUAUCAGGAGGGAACACCGGUGGCGAAGGCGGGUCUCUGGGCCGAUACUGACGCUGAUGCGGCGAAAAGCCCAGGGGGAGCGAAACGGGG